AGUGAACGCUGGCGGUAGGCCUAACACAUGCAAGUCGAACGGCAGCACAGUAAGAGCUUGCUCUUACGGGUGGCGAGUGGCGGACGGGUGAGGAAUACAUCGGAAUCUACUUUUUCGUGGGGGAUAACGUAGGGAAACUUACGCUAAUACCGCAUACGACCUACGGGUGAAAGCAGGGGAUCUUCGGACCUUGCGCGAUUGAAUGAGCCGAUGUCGGAUUAGCUAGUUGGCGGGGUAAAGGCCCACCGAGGCGACGAUCCGUAGCUGGUCUGAGAGGAUGAUCAGCCACACUGGAACUGAGACACGGUCCAGGCUCCUACGGGAGGCAGCAGUGGGGAAUAUUGGACAAAGGGCGCAAGCCUGAUCCAGCCAUACCGCGUGGGUGAAGAAGGCCUUCGGGUUGUAAAGCCCUUUUGUUGGGAAAGAAAAGCAGCAGGUUAAUACCCCGCUGUUCUGACGGUACCCAAAGAAUAAGCACCGGCUAACUUCGUG
rnacentral:rRNA from 1 species